rnacentral:tRNA from 1 species
AGUUAAGUCAGCUAAACAAGCUUUUGGGCCCAUACCCCAAACAUGUCGGUUAAAAUCCAACCUCAACUA